rnacentral:lncRNA from 1 species
UUCCACCUCAACUUCAAAUAUCUCUCCAUCAGAACUCUGCACCUUAAUUGAAGGCACGCUGUUUGGUCCCAAGGAGACUGGCCAGCUUGAGGUGGCAUCAACACAGAAGACAAAGGCAGAGGACAAGGCUACUUGAAGGCCGGUUUUUCUAACUCUAUUUUACACAGGAGGAAAUGGAGGCUCAGAGGUUAAACGACUGAGAAAAGGUCACAAAAUAAAGCAGAAUUAUAAUGUACAAAGAGAUUAGGUUCUAAUGUCAAUACAUAGGUCAAAAAUGGAAUAUUUUCAAAACAAACCAUGGCAAUUUCUUAAAUCAUCCAUAAAAUAAGUAGAGCUGGCCUCUCAAUAAAUCCAACUCAGUCUGGUUUUUGUCCAUCAUUGGAACAAAUUGCUCGUUUCAGUGGUUGAGCACCAGAUUUGAAGUUGGCUUGCAUUAAGGGUCCCUGUUAUGUAAAAAAUGCUCGAAUCACUAAACUCACACUUAGUGUCUCUGAGAUGCUGUCUCCCUUCUUACCCUGCCAGCUGUUUACAACGAAAUUGCCCUUUACUGAAUGCACAUAGCUAUCCUGGCCCUGAGUUAAAUGUGCCAGUGAUGUGACUCCAUUGUGGUUAAAGUGAGAUUUAAACCUAAAAGCUGUGCCUCCCUCCCAAGCAUUUAUUUUUCUAGCUAGAGGGUCCUGAAUAUGUCAGUGUGAGCUUCAAACUGCUCUUUACUGAGCCUGCUUUGGGUUGCUCCCCAUGACCCCUACCCCUAUCCACUCCCUCAAACCAUCCUCAUGGAGCCAGUCUUGUUGAGGCUCUUCUUGACUGCUUACUCCAACUCAGCUUGAACAAGCAUCCCAGCGUGAACUUUUUUUUUUUUUUGUGACAGAGUCUCACUCUGUCGCCCAGGCUGGAGUGCAAUGGUGCAAUCUAGGCUCACUGCAACCUCCACUUCCCAGGUUCAAGCUAUUCUCCUGCCUCAGCCUCCCUAGUAGCUGGGACUACAGGCACCUGUCACCACACCCGGCUAAUUUUUUUGUAUUUUUAGUAGAGACAGGGUUUCACCAUGUUGGCCAGGCUGGUCUGGAACUCCUGAUCUCAAGUGAUCUGCCCGCCUUGGCCUCUCGAAGUGCCGGGAUUACAGGCAUGAGCCACCGUGCCCGGCCUAGCAUGAACUUUUGAGGCCCAUGGAGGACAAUCCCAUCUGUUGAUCCUCGGUGAGGGCUAAAGUCUGGGGGAGACAGGAUAAAGAUGAACCAUCAGAGAGCACCACCCUUUCUGGUCCCACUGAAGACUAGUUCCACCUCACCCAGCAGGUUGGAUUGGAUUUUUCUGAUGGGCUUCCAUCCAAAGAUAGAAAUGCCCAGAAAUAAUCCCCUAGGGAGAAGGGAUAGAGAAAUGAGAUUGGGUGGGCUGGGGUCUGGUUCCUGGGACUGUGAAGCCUAGAAUCUGACACUCCUGUGGGUGUGAACCCAGGCGCUCUGGGAGACCGGGAUUCUGGAAUAGGGGUAUGAGUAGAGCUGAGCUGGGGGAAAAGAGGGAAAUUCCCAGGGGUGGAGGAAGAGUCAAGUCCCCCUCUACACCUAGAGGAUGAACUUAAGGAAGGAGUGAAGGUCAUAUGUGUUGUUCCUGAGGAAAAGGCCGCUGUAGAAAAUGGCCUCAUACAGCUCCCCAUUGCUUAUGAAGCAGCAGAUGUUCCAGUCUAUGGGGAAAUAAGGCAGGAGGGAGGGGCUUAGGGAACUCAAGGCUGGGUCAGAAUGGGGAGAAGAGUAGAGUCAGGAGAGGAAAAUGGGGUAAGGGACAAGUGGAGGGCGGGAAGUUAGGAGAGGAUGAUGGAGGUGAAGGAGUCAAGGAUGGGAGAGAGGAAAAUGGAAGAGGGAUCGGGGCAGAUGAGAGAGGAGGCAGAGUAUGGGCAGGAUUGGAUUUGGGGAGUACUGGGUAAUGAAAGGGAAUGGUUCUCAGAGGAAUGGGGCAAGGAUAGCCCAGGCGGGGAACAAGACUCACAAGGUAUGGAGGGGUUACAGGUUAGGAUCUUCCUGAGGAGACCAGAGGUGGCUCUUGGCCUGAGGGAUCAGUUUUUAGAGAGGAGGGGUGGGCUCUGGGUAGGGGAAGGCUAAUGUAUAGCAGGAGCCCAGUCAUGACCAGCAGGAAGCAAGCAGGCAGGUGGUGCUGGGAAAUGGGCUGAGGGAACACACAGCCCCUGCAGAACCUGCACAGGUAGCAGCCAGACAGCUGAGGCUGGACAGGAAGAGCA